AAACUUAAGCUAAUACCGCAUAAUGCAGCGGCUCCAUAUGGAGACAGUUGUUAAAGAUUUAUCGCCUAAAGAGCAGCCUGCGGCAGAUUAGCUAGUUGGUAAGGUAACGGCUUACCAAGGCUACGAUCUGUAUCCGACCUGAGAGGGUGGUCGGACACACUGACACUGAAUAACGGGUCAGACUCCUACGGGAGGCAGCAGUCGGGAAUUUUGGGCAAUGGGCGAAAGCCUGACCCAGCAACGCCGCGUGAAGGAUGAAGUCUCUCGGGAUGUAAACUUCGUAAGAAUAGGAAGAAUAAAUGACGGUACUAUUUGUAAGGUCCGGCUAACUACGUGCCAGCAGCCGCGGUAAUACGUAGGGACCAAGCGUUGUUCGGAUUUACUGGGCGUAAAGGGCGCGUAGGCGGCGUGACAAGUCAAUUGUGAAAUCUCCGGGCUUAACUCGGAACGGUCAAUUGAUACUGUUGUGCUAGAGUACAGAAGGGGCAAUCGGAAUUCUUGGUGUAGCGGUGAAAUGCGUAGAUAUCAAGAGGAACACCUGAGGUGAAGACGGGUUGCUGGGCUGAUACUGACGCUGAGGCGCGAAAGCUAGGGUAGCAAACGGGAUUAGAUACCCCGGUAGUCCUAGCCCUAAACGAUGAAUACUUGGUGUCUGGAGUUUUAAUUCUCCGGGUGCCGUCGCUAACGUUUUUAGUAUUCCGCCUGGGGAGUACGCGCGCAAGUGUGAAACUCAAAGGAAUUGACGGGGACCCGCACAAGCGAUGGAGCAUGUGGUUUAAUUCGACGCAACGCGAAGAACCUUACCUG
rnacentral:rRNA from 1 species